ACGGGUGCAAAGGCGAAACGGGGCGCUGGUCCAAGGAAGAGGACGAGGCAUUGAAGAAAGCGGUCGAGGAGCACGGGACGAGUUGGAAUAAAAUCAGCCAGAUUGUCGGCCGGUCCAACGACUCC
rnacentral:ribozyme from 1 species